UGACUGGGGUGAAGUCGUAACAAGGUAGCCGUAGGGGAACCUGCGGCUGGAUCACCUCCUUAAUCGACGACA
rnacentral:rRNA from 4 species